ACAAGCAUGCUAGAUGAGAUUGAGCGUGAGUUUGAAGCUGCUACAAGUGGUCUUAAACAGCUAAAGAUUAAUGCUCACACUGUCCAAGAUGAUGACAAAGAACAAGGAGACAGAGUAUGCUAGAUGCAAUUGAACGUGAGUUUGAAGCCGUUACCGAAAGCUUUAAACAGCUUGAUGAUCUCGCUGAUAACAAAGAUAAGGGAGACCAAUCUGCAAAGAGGCAAAGUAUGUUGGAUGAGAUUGAGCGUGAGUUUGAAGCUGCUACAAGUAGUCUUAAGAAACUAAACAUUGAAGAUUCUACUGAAGGAGAUGACAGUGAACAAAAUGCAAGGAGAAAUAGCAUGCUUGAAGCUAUCGAACGCGAGUUUGAAGCUGCUACAAAAGGUCUUGGGAGAGCGAAAGGCUAGUGAAGGAAAGGAUCAUGAUGAACAUUCGGCAAGUAGAAAAAGUAUGCUUGAUGCUAUUGAACGCGAGUUUGAAGCUGCAACUAAGGGCCAUGUAGAAAAGACUUAUAAAGAGCAAGCUGAAACUCAGAGAAGCAGCAUGUUGGAAGAAAUCGAACGCGAAUAUGAAGCAGCUGCAAGUGCAAAGGCUUCUGGAAAAUACUCAGCAGCUGCAAAGAGUUCAUCAACCAUAAAUACAGUUCAGAAAACUUCUGGUGGAUCCAACUAUGGUGUGUGUGGUUGUUUUAAUAAAGACAAAGAUGGUAUUAAGAUUGACACAGAUUGUUCAAUUAACAUAGGGGAGAUACUCGCUGAAGAAUCAAACUUCCGGGGAUCAGAGAGCUCUAGUCUCACAACUUCACUGAACAAUCUCUUUCACACCCAUAGACAAGAAACAACCUUAAAGGUAGGCAAAGUCCUUGGCUCAUCUUUAACAGUUACUUCCACUGCAAGCGAAUCAUCCGCUACAUCGGAGAACAUAGACAGCUUAAAGGAAACCCUAAAGAAGCUACGCGGUCUAAGCGCGCGUGACCUCGUAAACCAUCCCAACUUCGACGAGAUCAUAGAAGCCGGUACGCGUUACGAGGUACUCAGCUCAGCUUCAAUAGGUUACAUCUCUUUGCUAGCCAAAUACAAAACCGUCAUUAAAGAAGGACUCGAGGCUUCACAGAGAGUCCACAUUGCUCAAACCCGCGCCAAGCUUCUCAAAGAAACCGCCAUGGAGAAGCAGAGAGCCGUGGACGCCGAGUUCUCAUUCGCCAAGACUCUUGCUCAUCAAGGAGACGCGUUGUCCAUCAAAAUCUUUGCGAUCAAGAAACUGUUGGUUAAGCUUGAAGAAGAGAAAGUUAACGUUGAUCUAAAGUUUAAGUCUACGGAGACCAAUCUAGCACGGCUUCUUAAGGAGGCUUCUCAGGCUUACGAAGAGUAUCAUGUGGCUGUGCGCAAGGCAAAGGACGAGCAAGCUGCUGAGGAGUUCGCUCUUGAGACGACCAAGAGAGCGGAACAUAUUUGGGUUGAGUUUCUUAGUUCGCUUAAUUGAACUAAUGAGGUUCUUGAUUGUGGUUAAGACAUGUCUUCAACUAGUUGUGGUUCUUGUCUUGUUUUUCUUGGUCAUGUUUUGUUACAGACUUUGUUUGUUGGUUGUGUCAGGAGAGAGAGGCUGAACAUUUUCAAAGAUAAGAGUGAAUUUGUGAGAGAUUUGUGAUCACAAAUAAUGUUUUAGUCCUCUAAUAAAAUUUUAUUUUCAAUUCUU